GACGAACGCUGGCGGCGUGCCUAAUACAUGCAAGUAGAACGCUGAAGGAGGAGCUUGCUUCUCUGGAUGAGUUGCGAACGGGUGAGUAACGCGUAGGUAACCUACCUGGUAGCGGGGGAUAACUAUUGGAAACGAUAGCUAAUACCGCAUAAGAGUAGAUGUCGCAUGACAUUUGCUUAAAAGGUGCAAUUGCAUCACUACCAGAUGGACCUGCGUUGUAUUAGCUAGUUGGUGAGGUAACGGCUCACCAAGGCAACGAUACAUAGCCGACCUGAGAGGGUGAUCGGCCACACUGGGACUGAGACACGGCCCAGACUCCUACGGGAGGCAGCAGUAGGGAAUCUUCGGCAAUGGACGGAAGUCUGACCGAGCAACGCCGCGUGAGUGAAGAAGGGUUUCGGAUCGUAAAGCUCUGUUGUAAGAGAAGAACGAGUGUGAGAGUGGAAAGUUCACACUGUGACGGUAGCUUACCAGAAAGGGACGGCUAACUACGUG
rnacentral:rRNA from 1 species